UAGAAGGAGAGAAAAAUCCUCUUUGACUUUCAACCUGUUGAUUACAGCAAACCUAGAGGACUAAACCGCCCAGGCAUGUGGCUCCUCGCUGAUCCAAACGCGUUUGGAAACGUAAUCGAUUAAUGAGCCGUUUCUCUCCUUUCAUCGGUUUCCGAUCAGCUAUUUUACAUUCCGUAGAGCCAUGGUGAACUCUUUCUGUCCACAAAGAUGACCGCCCGGCGACACCUCACGCAGGAAUGACAGAUGAAAUCCAACAUGGCUUGACAGAAUCCCCCCUUCUCGAGCGAAGCACCAAAGAACACAGAGGAGCUAAAGGGUGCUGCGUCUCCCACCGCAUCAAGGUUAAACCCGUCUGGAUGCUGAAGAUGCAUGCUGAAUGCCUCCUAGUUUUGUGCUCAUACCUUUGCUCACAGUGUCGGUGGUGGGUCCUCUGCAUCAAAACCGUUGAUAUUCAACAAAGGUUUGUGUGUGUGUGUGUGUGUGUGUGUGUGUGUGUGUGUGUGUGUGUGUGUGUGUGUGUGUGUGAUGUGUUCGUGCAUGCGUGUGUGUGUGUGUGUGUGUGUGUGUGUGUGUGUGUGUGUGUGUGUGUGCGGGUGUGUGUUUUAACCCUGACAACAGUAUGUUGUUAGCGGUAACACAAUUUCUGGGAACGUCUCUUUGUUGUUAUUGCGCUGGCUGUGGGCUGGGUGUGAUUACAGGUGAGAUGGAGCUGUUUAUCAUGCGGCGCUGGUUCCGUGGAUGAUGUUACCACGCCGACACUGCUCGCGUGAUGAACGCGUUUGAUUGAAUAAAGCAUAUAUUAGAAAUCCCCCCCAAAAUAAACCCCUUCAGAGCGUCUUCAGGUGAGGAGGAUGCGAGCUGCAGGAGGGCUGUUAAUGCAGUCCGCCGUGCUAAAACACAAAAGGAAAAACACGACAGAGGAGCCAUCCUCUCUCCUCUCACAGCAGAAGACGUGGGAGAGAGGAGUCAUCAAGUGCAACACGAACCCCUUCGGUCUGAGGUAAGGAGACAGGGAACAGACGUCCUGCUACACUUGCCCAUGUAGAUUGAGGUCGCCGCAUGGUGACGGUAUGAAUACAAAGGACCUGCAGCCGAACUACCCGUCGCUGAAGGAUUCCUGAUUGGGGGGUGAUAGUGUAUUGCAGGGGCUAGCCAGUGGAUUCUCGUCCUUGUUUCUGCAGUCUACCUGUAGGCAUUGUGGCACAAGAUGUCUCCUAUACCUGCUUUGUAAUGACGUGAAUGUAAGCAUCCUCUAGUCUAGACCCCACGGUCGUCAUAUAUAGACGACCGGCAUUAGAGGAUCUGCAGCUGACCACGUGUGGUUUUGUCUCUCUGCACGUGAACAUUACUGUGCCCGGUCCACAUGGGAGUAGAGGCUGGAGGCUCGGAGCUGCGUUCUACUUCUCUGGCCGCCGCUCCUCUCGAGCCUCAAUCAAUCUUCCUUCUAGUUCGUUUUCUGGAGAAGAAGGUUUAUCAAUCCAUUCCUCAUUCAGCCAUCCAUCUUUAACGUGUUUACUUUCCCCGUCCCCCCGAUUGGCGGCGUGCCAGCAGCUCCUCUGAUGCCCCCCGCCCCACCGAGUGCAUGUUUAAGAUAACCGCGCGUUUUUCAAGCCUUUCUCCGCGUCGAUAUUUGCAAACGGUUUAUUCUUGCGCUUGCAUGUGGGGUGAAGGAGCCCUUCAUGUGUUCAGGGCUGCGCAGAUCAAACGGCGGCGGGCGGCGGGCGUUCACCGUGCGGCCCAGGCCUCUGUUUUUAUCUGCGCUGAAGGACAAGGUCGGGGCCGUGCGUUGAUGAUUGCAAUACUAAAGCCCGCGAUGCACUGGAGUGCUGAUAUACAUAUGCGGGCAUUCUCCAUCUAACAGGGCCGCGUGACUCAGGAUUGAACCACUAAAGGGUGCUCCCUUAUAAGAGAAGAAUAUACGGUGUCUGGCAACGAGAGUGGUUUGUUCCACUUAUAACAUGGUUACCCACUGAUUGGAUAUUAGUUCCUUUCAUCUAUAACCGUUAUUGUUUUAUAUCGAUUCCAAUCAGCGGAUAAUUAAGAUAUUGUCCCUGACGCUCUGAGCGUGUUGUUGUUGCGUUGCCAAGGAAACAUCUGGUCGAUGGCACUACUUAACCGUUGCUGUUAAUGCCGGAUUCAGAGGGCAUUGAUCCGCGACUGUAAUGGCGAAGGUUAUUGUAAAAGAAUGCACUCCCUCGGAGCGGGCGGACCAAUCAGAAUAAAACAUUCGGCGCUGCUACGAUAUAAUUGGAGCCGUCUGAUUCACAUUUAGCCGCGAUAAUUGUAGGACCUUUAUUUUUUACGAGUUUGCGAAUUCAGCAUCCGAUCCUGCAUUGUCAUUCGACCUGCCAGACUUUUAUUUUGUCCUUCAAAGGUGACACGUCAUACCAACAGGUGUGAGUGUGAUUAGCCGUUACACGCCGUUUUGAGAAUCAGCCUCUGCUGACAUCACAAGUGGGCGUGUCCACCUAGAUGUAUGACGGAUAGAUGAGCAGCGUUUUGCUACCGUCCACCGGGUAGGCUGGUAGACUGAUCUACCCAGCACACAUCUACGUUGGACCAACCACUUGUGAUAUUAGAAGAGGUUGAUGCUCAAAACGCCUUGUAACGGCUAAUUACACUCACACCUGGUGGUGUAAUGUCUCACCUUUAAACCCUCGCCUCCUCUGGUGUGACCCCUGCUGCUGUUUCCCCGCUGCUAACCCCCCCCCCCGCUCCUAGCCAGCCUCUCCAACCGCCGUCGCAACACCCGCUCACACUUUGAACGUCGCAGCUCAUGCUAAACAUCUCAUCUGCGCCGCGGGCGCCGCGGGCAGGGGGGGGGGGGGGGGGGGGCUCCAGGAACCUUAACCAGCCGCGUCGCGGUCAGACUUCCAGAACAAAUUACUUUUGAUCGGUGAUUCAUGGAUUUCAUGUAUAUUUGAAAAUACAUCCGGUGUUGGAGGGAAUAGGGCCCCAUUUCACAGGGAGAGAGUCGAACCCAAACCCUCUUCUCCCUCCACUUAUUUCCGAGUCAAGAGGCCUGCUCCGCGGAUCGGAUCUGAAGAUAUCUUUUAACAAGGGAGAAGGUACUGUAGCGGUAAAGACCGGUUUAUCUUUAACUCUUAUUCAAAUAACCUAAAUGUCAGCAUGCCCACUGUGGUGCACAGGCUGGUAAGUGUUUAAUUUAUUAUCUGUAUGGACAUAUAUAUAUAUAUAUAUGCAGUGUUGUGCCUGAACGCGUUCAUUGAACGACAGUUCAUGAACUCGUUCAUAUUUUGGGCGAACGUGAACUGAACGUACAGUAAUACUGCAUGAUGAACGUUACUGUGAACUCGUUCAUUCUGGUGUCUGUAAAUUUUUUUGAAUUAUAAAUAUGUACAAUCCAUAACGUUAGCUCUCUUGCUCAUGUCUCAGCGGACUAGAAUACCUCGUAGAAUCAUUGCUUGUCGGCCGGAAACGGAAAAGGGGGCUGUUUACGUUUGGUUGUAGUCUUUUCGCUCGGUUCUCCAUCUCAACAGUAGGGCAAGAACCGAGCGAAAAGACUACAACCAAACGUGAUCACCCCCCCUUUACGUUUCCGGCAAACAAGCAAUGAGUCUUCAAACAGAAAUCAAUGGGAUUUACAAAAUGCGCUAAAUGAGCAAUAAAACACGAUAGAAACUUCGCUACGAUACUUGAUUCAACCACUCUAUUUCAUCCUAGACAAACCACAAAGCGUUCAAAAUACCGGAAAAAAACAAUAGCUCACAGCAACGUAUUGAAAAAAAGAACUAUGAACUAGUUCAUUAUUUGGAACUGUGAACUGAACUUUGAACUAGUUGACGUAGAAUGUGAACUUUCCCAACACUGUAUAUAUGGAUGGAGAGAGAGAGAGAGAGAGAGAGAGAGAGAGAGAGAGAGAGAGAGAGAGAGAGAGAGAGAGAGAGAGAGAGAGAGAGAGAGAGAGAGAGAGAGAGAGAGAGAGAGAGAGAGAGAGAGAGAGAGAUCGGUAAAUAGAUAGAUAGAUAGAUAGAUAGAUAGAUAGACAGACAGACAGACAGACAGACAGACAGACAGACAGACAGACAGACAGACAGACAGACAGACAGACAGACAGACAGACAGACAGACAGAUAGAUAUAUUUAUAUAUAUACAGACUUUUUAAAAAUGAUUACCCAAUUAUAAUAUAUCAACAUAAACACCAAGCCAUAACUACAUUAAGCAUCACACCUGCUGAUAGGCGGGGGGUCACGUGACGAGCCCUGUGGUUGGUCAAGAGGCACUGGAGCCGAAACGCGCCAUGCAUCCAAGCGGCGGCUCUGUGCACGUUUGAUAUCGCUGCCUUUGAGAUCAUGGGAACACCUUAUGGGAAAGACGGAAAACUGAAACCACUUAGAACCAAAGCUCAGCCGCUCUGAAGACGGCUUUUCCCUCCAAAGCCCGAGAAAUCCAGAUCCAGUGAGAUUCUGGCAUGAUGCAAUCUGGAGCGGGCUCAGGAACACAGAGGGGAGAAUAGGAGAAGGACACAGGAUGGAUUCACAUUCCUCUCCCCUGUUACCCAUUGACCUUUGAAAACCCCAACAUAAUUGUCCCUCGUAUUGCCACGGACAAUUAUUUACCGCGAACAGUGAACCACCUCAGCCCUAUCAGAAGAUGACAAAGACGAAUGUUGAAUCACUUUGGUGUUGAGGUGAAGCAUUCAGCUGAAGCAGCGGCAGCGGCAGCAGCAGCAGCAGCAGCAGCAGCAGCAGCAGCAGCAGCAGCAGCAGAGUCCCUGUUUAUAUACAACUAAAAAAAGCCUGCUCUAUCUGACAGGAAACUGAUAC
rnacentral:lncRNA from 1 species